UAAAGAAAGUAAGAAAGGGCGUAUGGCGGAUGCCUAGGCUCACGGAGGCGAUGAAGGACGUGAUAAGCUGCGAUAAGCUUCGGGUAGGUGCAAAUAACCCUUGAUCCGAAGAUUUCCGAAUGGGACAACCUAGCCGUCUGAAGGACGGUUACUCAAUCUUCAAGGUUGAGAGCUAACGCAGGGAACUGAAACAUCUUAGUACCUGUAGGAAGAGAAAAUAAAUGAAUGAUUCCCCUAGUAGUGGCGAGCGAACGGGGAACAGCCCAAACCGUUGACGUCGCAAGGCGCCAGCGGGGUUGUAGGACCGCGACAUUGUAUGCAAAUCGUGAACAGAACACUUUGGAAAAUGUGACCAUAGACGGUGAUAGUCCAGUAUGUGAAGCGAAAUGCAGCAUAGCGGUAUCCUGAGUAACGCGGGACACGAGGAAUCCUGCGCGAAUCUGCCGGGACCAUCCGGUAAGGCUAAAUACUCCCGUGAGACCGAUAGCGAACGAGUACUGUGAAGGAAAGGUGAAAAGAACCCCGAGCAGGGGAGUGAAAUAGUUCCUGAAACCAUACGCCUACAAGCGGUCGGAGCAUCUUACGAUGUGACGGCGUGCCUUUUGCAUAAUGAUCCUACGAGUUACCGUCACUGGCGAGGUUGAGUGUCAUGAGACACGUAGCCGCAGUGAAAGCGAGCCUGAAUAGGGCGCAUAGUCAGUGGGGGUAGACGCGAAACCAAGUGAUCUACACUUGGCCAGGAUGAAGUCCCGGUAACACGGGAUGGAGGUCCGCACCAAUAAGCGUUGAAAAGCUUCUGGAUGAGCCGAGUGUAGGAGUGAAAGGCCAAUCAAACUUGGAGAUAGCUCGUACUCCCCGAAAGGCAUUUAGGUGCCGCGUCGGAUGGUCACCGUGAGAGGUAGAGCGACCGAUAGGACAAGAGGGCUUCACCGCCUAUCGAGUCCUGACGAACUCCGAAUGCUCACGGUCUGCAGUCCGGCAGUAAGGGGGCGGGUGCUAAGGUCCGUCCCCGAGAGGAGAAGAAUCCAGACCGCCGUCUAAGGUCCCGGAGUUCUGCCUGAGUUAGUCUAACGAAGUCUGGUCCCUAUGACAGCUAGGAUGUUGGCUUGGAAGCAGCCAUUCAUUCAAAGAGUGCGUAACAGCUCACUAGUCGAGGGUCCGGGCAUGGAUAAUAAUCGGGUAUAAGGCAGACACCGAAGGCGCGGGAUAGCAUUUAAGAAAGUAUCGGUAGGGGAGCAUACUCACAGCGU
rnacentral:rRNA from 1 species